rnacentral:tRNA from 1 species
GCCUGGUUGGCUCAGUGGAGCAUGUGACCCUUGAUCUCAGGGUUUGGGUUCAAAUCCCACGUUGGGUG